UGGGGCUGGCUCCUGGGAACAAGCUUUUCUCUCACGGGAUUUGGAGAAUCAAUGGCCUACAAGCAUCCAAACUACACUUCAUUUCCAACUGGGGGGAAAAAAAGAAAGAGUCCUUUGUAGGGCAAGCUUUUUAUUCGUAUUACACGCACCCCCGUCUCCACCACUCCACCGAAAACAAGAAAACACCUGAGCUGACAGACUAGUGGAUCCUACGAAGACAAAGCCCCGCCCCCCCCCGCCGGUACCCCCAAGGCUAGGGAUGUCCCAAUCUGCACAGAGCUGCCCCAGGGGCUGGGGAGCCAAAGUGAGCUGCUGAGGCACGAGAGUGUGACCUUCUGGUCUGCCCCCAAGGGUCGAGAGCCUCAGCUGGGCCCACAGUGCGCUCAAGGACGAAGGAUGGGCCCAGAGUACCCUCAACUACACAACUCACUGGAUGUGCCAAUGAGAUUUGUCACCUGAACCCACCAAGCAGAGUAACAGGCAAGCGAGGAAAGGGGGCUCGCCCACUUCACACACGACCAGCUACUAGGGCAUACCUGGCCCCAGGAUGGCCAGUGAGUACAUGAGGGAACGAGGCUCAAUGUAAAAUGCGGGCAUGUGGCCCCAAGCACCUGGGCGAGCUGUCACCUUCUGUAGAGACUGGUGCAGGGAAGCGUCCCAGGAAGCAGGGACCUGGGGAAUGAAUGGGAACGAUCUAGACACUGGCUCCAGCAAGAGGAGGUACUCCAUGCAGCAAGAGUUAAGGCUCAGCCUUAGGACACAGAGACCCCACACAGGAGAGCAGUCUGAGAAAACAAGCAGAAACUUGGGGAAGGCAGUGAAACCAGAACCAAGACCGUGGGGGGCCUAGAGGCGCUGCAGGAGUGCCCCUCCCGCUGAGAAGGCAAAGGAAAGCAAGAAGGAACUCUCUUCAUCAGGCAGGUUUCUGUGGACUGAGGUUUGGGAGAUCACCCCAGGAGUGACCGAGCCAAAAGGUGCAGGCGUGGGAAUGAUCAACAUCCACAGGGCAGUGUGGUCCCCCCCACAGAGCAGACUCACCCUGGCUGCUCCGAUCAUAGACUGAUCCUGGGAUAAUGGCCUCCCGAGCAUCAUACAUGGCUGUUGUCAUGAAGCGGGCUCCCUGCAAAGGGUUUAGAUAGGUGAGGAAUUUAUCACCUUGACACAAGGAAGAACUUUCUAAAGAUGUGAUGGCUUGGCCACCUUCCAGGCCAUGACUAGGCCAAUGCUGAGGCUUGCUGGGCCUUGCCCACCCCUCCUCCACAGACCUGGCCCUUGGUGCUGAAUGUUUGUCUCCAGGCUU